rnacentral:rRNA from 1 species
UACGGAGGGGGCUAGCGUUGUUCGGAAUUACUGGGCGUAAAGCGCGCGUAGGCGGAUCUGCAAGUCGGGGGUGAAAUCCCGAGGCUCAACCUCGGAACUGCCUUCGAUACUGCGGGUCUCGAGUCCGGGAGAGGUGGAGUGGAAUUCCGUAGUGUAGAGGUGAAAUUCGUAGAUAUUAGGAAGAACACCAGUGGCGAAGGCGGCUCACUGGCCCCGGUACUGACGCUG